CCAUGAACCCAGCUUUACACAGACACAAAUAGUGGAGGUAGCCUGAGUCCCAGUUAUCAGGGUAAGCGCUGUAACCGCUGUAAGAGUCAACGCAGACACCAUCGUUCUCGCACGGAUGAUUAUAACAUGGAUGAGGCAGUACAGAGUCAAGUUGGUCAAUCAAAAAAUUACCGAAUCCUUCUUCAAAGCUAAGCCAGAAUGAUGUCCAAACAGCUGUUAUUGGUUUUCCUGGUUGUGAUGUUGACCGUAUCUUUCAGUCAACAAAAACCUGGAAUUGAGUACAAAUUAUGGAAGAAGAGGCUUCAGUUCGAUGAUGAAGAAUGUGGACCUACGGAAUGCGUUGAUAACGAUGAUUGUUGUGAUGGAUGGACGUGCCCAGACAACGGGGGGAGUUGUGAACAUUAAACCUUAAAAUCCAUGCUGUCACGUGUGCCAUCCAAGGAUUGUAUAAAACUCACCGUUCGGAUAAAAUGAAUUUUAAAGAAUAAUAAAUGAUAAUUAAGA